rnacentral:siRNA from 1 species
UGUCCACCUUUCUUCCUAUAGCCU